rnacentral:rRNA from 1 species
UACGAAGGGUGCAAACGUUGCUCGGAAUUAUUGGGCGUAAAGCGCACGUAGGCGGCUUCGCAAGUCGGAUGUGAAAUCCCUCGGCUCAACCAAGGAAGUGCAUCCGAAACUGCAGAGCUUGAGUACCAAAGAGGAUCGCGGAAUUCCCGGUGUAGAGGUGAAAUUCGUAGAUAUCGGGAGGAACACCAGUGGCGAAGGCGGCGAUCUGGGUGGAUACUGACGCUGAGGUGCGAAAGCGUGGGGAGCAAACAG